rnacentral:rRNA from 1 species
CCUACGGGAGGCAGCAGUGAGGUAUAUUGGUCAAUGGACGCAAGUCUGAACCAGCCAUGCCGCGUGCAGGAAGACGGCUCUAUGAGUGGUAAACUGCUUUUGUACAAGGGUAAAUCCCGAUACGUGUAUCUGUUUGAAAGUAUCGUACGAAUAAGGAUCGGCUAACUCCGUGACAGCAGUCGCGGUAAUACGGAGGAUUCAAGCGUUAGCCGGAUUUAUUGGGUGUAAAGGGUGCGUAGGCGGUGCGAUAAGUUAGAGGUGAAAUCCCGGGGCUCAACUCCGGCACUGCCUCUGAUACUGUCGGGCUAGAGUUUAGUUGCGGUAGGCGGAAUGUAUGGUGUAGCGGUGAAAUGCAUAGAGAUCAUACAGAACACCGAUUGCGAAGGCAGCUUACCAAACUACGACUGACGUUGAGGCACGAAAGCGUGGGGAGCAAACAGGAUUAGAUACCCGUGUAGUC